GAAAUUAGCAGUAACAACCCUCAGUGUCCCCGGUCACCGUUGUCUGUUUCUGAAUUUCGUAUGAAAUAUGGAUAUCGUUACAGCAAAAUCGAUGGUCUAGCACUCCACGAUGUACCUGUCGAUGGUAACAACACUUUUGCUCAUCUAGAGAUGCGGCAGUUGACGCGGUGAAGUGAAAGCGCAUCGUGGCUUUUAAAAUGCAAAUGUAAACAGCAACCCAGACAGCAAUUUACACUCUUGACAUAGCUUCAACAUACGCCAGCAGUGAUGUUCGGCGUGGUGCAGUGGUAAGGUGCUUGUCUCGGAACCGUCAGGUCCAAAGUUCGAAUCCUAGGCAAAAGGCAUUUUUUUUUCUACUUUUAUUUUUUUUAUUUUAUUUCGUAUUAAUAAUUUUACAUAACCUUAAAAUGACCUCUGUCAAUUUUUAAUCAAAUAUUGAUCAGGAACUACAGAAUUUUCGACUACAGGGCGUCACACUACAGAGAACAGAACGACAGUCACAACGUCCCAAAAUACGACAGACUGAAAAUUUGCUGUUGUGUUUUUCAAGUGGGUGAGACGUCUAUACGGCGUAUACGCAGAUUGCUGUCCUCUCUAUUAAAAGCAACGUUGCUGAAACACGUCGUACAAGACGCUGUACGACUCGCAUAACAUCGAAUUACAACGCCGUCACCAUCCAUGAGAUCACCGAAAGCACGGUCGCUUUCGGUGGCGGCCUACAGAUGGCAGCACAGGUAGCGCCGGUAAAGUUACAGGUGAUAUUAUUUUGCCGUCCUCAGUUGUCGCCACAUGUGAGUGCUUGCUGCAUUGACGCCGUCCGAUGUAGUUGUUUAAUCGUGUGUACGCUGUGCCGAGAGAAAUUGUGGUGCAUUUUGUAUGCAUUGAGAAUCACAAAACCCCUGGGACCGCGUAAUGUAGCCCGCAGUAUCCUUCGUGUGGUGCGCCGAUGUCGAAGAUAUGACCCUUCGCGCUUCCUUUGUUCCGGGCUCAUGAACAGGAUCUCCUCCUCUGGCACUGUCGCAUCGUAUCGCGCUGUACGGAAGAAUUUGGUGAAAGUUGUGCUCUUACGUCCUGUAGUUGAUCCGCAAUUCAACAGUGUGUGCGCCGGAAGGACCGUUGGUGCAGUCGAUGCCGCGGCACCUGUGACGCUAAAAGGAGCGUUUUCCGAGUACGCCUAGAAAGGGAUGGCAAGAUUUUGUGAACCAGAGGCACCUCCACAUAUGCACCUGCGGCACUUCUGCAGCCUCAACAGCACGGAAAAGUACCUGAUGUGCAUGCUGUGACAAGCUGCUGUAGGUAUGGCUGGACCUGGAGAAGAAGUGUAAGCAGACCAUGCAAUGUUGCUGAUCUGCGCUGAUCUCCACAUCCAAGUUGGUCCCGCGACAGUUGGGCACCAUUGUGCCUUGCUUCAUUGACAAGGUGAUAUAAUAUGGUGAGCUUGUACUUCAAUAUCGGUAUUGAAAAUUAUGUUAAGGAAAAAAGACAAGGAUUGGUCUUUAUGAUAGAUACACUCAUGUUCUUUCUUUAAGGUGUUCUUUUGACACUGUUCUGCAUGGACAAAUUUUUAGAGAACAGUCCUUUAUUGCAAAGUGCCAUGGCGCUAGUUUAUGCGUUAAACUAGCACUCUUUCACCAAAAAAAGCCUUAUUUAGCACACAAUUCACAAGGAAAGAAAGGAGGCAACAGGACAGAGUGCUACUAACAGUUCAGUAUUAUUGCUCGCACAGUGAUAUUGUGCAAAAGGUGAAAGGGGGAGAAUAGAUCUGAAUACAUGCUGUUCGCACAGAAACAUGGUGAGCGUGACACUUGUUUUACAAUGAUAAGAAGCAGUCUCACUGUCUAGUAAUUCUCUGCAUGGGGAGCUAGCGCCAGGUUCCUCGUCAUACAUAUAAGAAAAGCCUCAGAUAUCUCUCCAGCGCUUUUGUCUUUAUAUUUUGUCACGAUCAAGCAGCUUUCAAACAUAGGUGCAUGUGCGCCGAGAGCAGUGCACUACCACUGCUAACUGACCCAUGCAUCAAGUUUGCUUGGUCACGCUGCCAGUCAUUUAUACAUUGGCCGGUUUAUCCGGUGUAGCCUCUACUGCACGAAAUGGUAUGUGAUAGACACUGCACCUGUGUACUGUACGUGCUUUGUUACAUGAUUUUUUUUUUCAGAGAUAGUGAUGCAGGCCUUUUCAUUAUUUACAUGCCUACACAACAAACCAAGCCAGCAUGAGGCAACUGUUCUCGGCACGAAACAAACUUGAUUCGUUAGUUUUCGUUCAUUGGUGCGAUCACACUAAGGCAGACAAGCUUGUAGGCUGUGCUUCUGCAAUUUGUACAGCACACUGACAGCACUGGUGUGGGCCACAUCUGUGGGCUGACUUAUGGCACCUUCUACAGCGCAGACCACUUGUGUUGGGCGAGGCACCAAUGUUGACGUUUGUUCCCUUGUGCAAAACAGCAGUCCUAGGUUUUGAGUAGUUGUAGGAAGACAAGGUAAACACAACUUCCAUGGCUUGAGUGGGCUCAUUUCUCUUGGGGCAUCUAGCUUUUUUUCUUGCAACUGUGCAGAGGUGCUUCCCUAGAGUCUGUGUGAAAAUGGCAUAGAGUUGUGCAUUCGGGAACUCCUGAACAAUGAUCUGCUAUAGUUAGGGCUUUGCGAAAAUGCACUGUCUACCAGUUGGUAGAAGGUGCAUUAUUCAGCCACUGAUUUCCUGUUGGCAUGCUUGCACUCGUGCUGUCAGUAAUUUCUUGGCUUGCCGAAUUAUCUUGAGGCCCCACGCUGAUGAUGCUACCGAUGUCGUCAUGUGCAGACUUUUCAGGAUGAGGUUUUUUGCUUUGCAAAUGUUGUUGAAA